rnacentral:lncRNA from 1 species
CCCACUUGCAGUGACAUUCAUGCUCUACAGCACAACUCUCCUCCAAAAGGAAAAUCGAUAGAAGCAAACACUAAUUUAAAAAACAAAGCAAAUGAACUUUUCAGUAACUCUAACAAUUACUCAGAAAGGGCAAAAGCACUCUAGACAUCAGCAACAUGCUGGGUUUCUGGAGCAGUAAACACUGUGUCUGUAGUGUUCUGCUUCCCCUUGCUGCUUCUACUGUGAAAAAGUGAAUGCUUAAAUUGCACCUUGCUCAAGAACAUUUCAAAACCUACCAUUCUGAACCAGCCCAGAGAAAACAAGGGGAGCAUAAUAACUGUAACUACCAGAUCUAUUUAUGUAUCAGCCAGACCUAUACUGCUGGAUAAAUAUACCAUACGAAAAUCCCUGGGAGAAGAGCAAUUACCAUAAGAGUGGCUUAUCUGCAUGAUAUUUGGUUAACAGAUGAGGAGCUAAACAAACAGCGAUUUCUCUUUGGCAACCUGUUCUCUUUCCUCCCUGAAUUACAGGAUAUUUUAAAACAAAAGCAAAGAAGCCUAUUUUUAGAUAUUGGGAGUUCAUGCCAGUCACCCCUUCUCCCAUCCUGGGCAACUGCCACCCAGUGAAGAUUUAGGGAAAAUGAUCAUCAUCGCGGGUGGGAGCACUGGCACCCUCCCACCACACAGCCACUGUGAGCAGCACCACAGCCACCACCAGGAGCCCCCAGGGGACCUUGGAAGCCAGAGGCAGUGGGCAAUACCCACGUCUCCUUGGAAGUAAUGGCAGAAGUCCUGCUGCAUUCAGUCAGGUCAAAGCAUAACCAGAUCUCUCACUUUUCCAGAGGAGCUCACCCUGCCUCGCCUGCCGCCUCACUCACCAGGUAAACCUGGGCAUGAUGAUUUACCACAGGGAGAAGAAGACACUGCUGCUGGUGGUCAGGGGUGAUGGAGUCAACAUCAAAGGAGAGCCCACAUGGUUGCAUGGAGCAGACCAGGAGCCAGCAAUGGCAGAAAGAAAGAGAAAAUGAUCCUGAUUCAAAGCAGCAUUGAAAUACAAGGCUCUGCCAGAUGUUACAUAAACAAUGAUGUAAUGCCAAAGUAUUUCAUUACACAUGCAGCUCUGUUCUUCAGCCCAGAAGUGAUUUAUUACAUUUUGUCAAUCCCAUUUUAUGUACCCACAUCAUUUUUACAUCAUUUUUCUUCAUGACAUUGUUACAUUCUCACAGAAGCACAUAGAGAUAACAUGAUAACAGUGCAGGCAAUGAAGUUAGCAUUUUAAAAAUAAUGUUACUAAUAAAUAAAUAUACCAGUGAGGGGGAAAUGGUCUG